AACGAACGCUGGCGGCAGGCUUAACACAUGCAAGUCGAUCGAGAUCUUCGGAUCUAGUGGCAGACGGGUGAGGAACACGUGGGAACAUCCCUUUCAGUUCGGAAUAACGUUGGGAAACUACCGCUAAUACCGGAUACGUCCUUCGGGAGAAAGAUUUAUCGCUGAAAGAUUGGCCCGCGUCUGAUUAGCUAGUUGGUGAGGUAACGGCUCACCAAGGCUACGAUCAGUAGCGGAUCUGAGAGGAUGAUCAGCCAAAUUGGGACUGAGACACGGCCCAAACUCCUACGGGAGGCAGCAGUGGGGAAUAUUGGACAAUGGGCGCAAGCCUGAUCCAGCCAUGCCGCGUGAGUGAUGACGGCCUUCGGGUUGUAAAGCUCUUUUGUCCGGGAAGAUAAUGACUGUACCGGAAGAAUAAGCCCCGGCAAACUUCGUGCCAGCCGCCGCCGUAAGAC
rnacentral:rRNA from 1 species